AACGAACGCUGGCGGCGCGUCUUAAGCAUGCAAGUCGAACGGCAAGAUUGGUGCUUGCACCGAUCCUAGAGUGGCGGACUGGUGAGUAACGCGUGGGUGACGUACCCUAAGGAUGGGGAUAGCUGGUAGAAAUAUCAGAUAAUACCGAAUAUCCUUAUUGUUGUUAGAGGACAGUAAGGAAAGGAGCUUUGGCUUCGCCUAAGGAUCGGCCCGCGUACUAUUAGCUAGUUGGUGAGGUAACGGCUCACCAAGGCGACGAUAGUUAUCCGGCCUAAGAGGGUGAACGGACACAUUGGGACUGAGAUACGGCCCAGACUCCUACGGGAGGCAGCAGCUAAGAAUAUUCCGCAAUGGAGGAAACUCUGACGGAGCGACGCCGCGUGGAUGAUGAAGGCCGGAGGGUUGUAAAAUCCUUUUAAGCAAGAAGAAUAAACUUUACAGGGAAUGGUAGAGUGGUGACGGUAUUGCUUGAAUAAGCAACGGCUAAUUACGUGCCAGCCGCCGCGGUAAUAC
rnacentral:rRNA from 1 species